rnacentral:rRNA from 1 species
GUGCAGCAGGCGCGAAACCUUCGCAAUGCGCGAAAGCGCGACGAGGCUACUCUGAGUGCCAUCCGCUGAGGAUGGCUUUUCUCUGCUGUAAGAAGGCAGAGGAAUAAGGAGAGGGCAAGUCUGGUGUCAGCCGCCGCGGUAAUACCAGCUCUCCGAGUGGUAGGGAUGAUUAUUGGGCUUAAAGCGUCCGUAGCUGGCCUUUCAAGUCUCUUGUUAAAUCCAGCGAUUCAAUCGUUGGACUGCGGGAGAUACUGUUAGGCUAGGGGGCGGGAGAAGCCGACGGUAUUUCCGGGGUAGGGGUAAAAUCCUAUAAUCCCGGGAAGACCACCAGUGGCGAAGGCUGUCGGCUAGAACGCGCCCGACGGUGAGGGAUGAAAGCUGGGGGAGCGAACCGGAUUAGAUACCCGGGUAGUCC